GCAUAUCAAUAAGCGGAGGAAAAGAAACCAACAGGGAUUGCCCUAGUAACGGCGAGUGAAGCGGCAACAGCUCAAAUUUGAAAUCUGGCUUCGGCCCGAGUUGUAAUUUGUAGAGGAAGCUUUUGGUGAGGCACCUUCUGAGUCCCCUGGAACGGGGCGCCAUAGAGGGUGAGAGCCCCGUAUAGUCGGAUGCCGAUCCAAUGUAAAGCUCCUUCGACGAGUCGAGUAGUUUGGGAAUGCUGCUCAAAAUGGGAGGUAAAUUUCUUCUAAAGCUAAAUACCGGCCAGAGACCGAUAGCGCACAAGUAGAGUGAUCGAAAGAUGAAAAGCACUUUGAAAAGAGGGUUAAAUAGCACGUGAAAUUGUUGAAAGGGAAGCGUUUGUGACCAGACUUGCGCCGUUCCGAUCAUCCGGUGUUCUCACCGGUGCACUCGGGGCGGCUCAGGCCAGCAUCGGUUUUGGUGGGGGGAUAAAGGUUCGGGGAACGUAGCUCCUCCGGGAGUGUUAUAGCCCCGGGCGUAAUGCCCUCGCCGGGACCGAGGUUCGCGCAUCUGCAAGGAUG
rnacentral:rRNA from 1 species